rnacentral:tRNA from 1 species
GCGGGUAUGGUGAAACGGUAUCACGUUUGCUUCCCAAGCAAAAAGUACGAGUUCGAUUCUCGUUACCCGCU